UACGUAGGGUGCGAGCGUUUGUCCGGAAUUACUGGGCGUAAAGAGCUCGUAGGUGGUUUGUCGCGUCGGCCGUGAAAACCUGCAGCUUAACUGUGGGCUUGCGGUCGAUACGGGCAUCACUGGAGUUCGGCAGGGGAGACUGGAAUUCCUGGUGUAGCGGUGAAAUGCGCAGAUAUCAGGAGGAACACCGGUGGCGAAGGCGGGUCUCUGGGCCGAUACUGACGCUGAGGAGCGAAAGCGUGGGGAGCGAACAGG
rnacentral:rRNA from 1 species